rnacentral:rRNA from 1 species
UACAGAGGGUGCAAGCGUUGUUCGGAAUUAUUGGGCGUAAAGCGCGUGUAGGCGGCAGUGCAAGUCGGGUGUGAAAGCCCUCGGCUCAACCGAGGAAGUGCGCCCGAAACUGCAUUGCUUGAGUACCGGAGAGGAUGGCGGAAUUCCCGAAGUAGAGGUGAAAUUCGUAGAUAUCGGGAGGAACACCGGUGGCGAAGGCGGCCAUCUGGACGGAUACUGACGCUGAGACGCGAAAGCGUGGGUAGCAAACAGG